rnacentral:lncRNA from 1 species
GGGCUUCUUCACCAUGUGGCCUGUGAACAAGGUGAGCCGCAGGAAAGCUGAGCCCAUGGGCAGAUGAUGCGAAGAACCCCCUUGGUGUUCCUGGAUUUGCCAUGCAGGGGCAGCAGGGGCUCUGAGGUGGCAUCAGCGAAGGACCCUGAGCUGGGUCACCCUGGUCAUUGGGACCCAGGGUCACCACAGGGUCCUCAUGAGAGGAGGCAAGAGGGCCAGAGUCAGAGGUGCUGCACCACUUGUGUGAAUUUGUGGUAAUUUAACUCCCUUCCUCCUUCCCUUCUUUUCCUCUUGUGCACAAAACUUAGGUGCUGAGGAUCCCUGUCUCGGGGGGCUCUGGACAGAGGGUGAGCAAGCUCGUGAACAAACCGCUUGGGGUAAUAGUAUUUCCUGUGUGUAAAAAAGCAGAGCUGACACAGUGGCCACACCUGUCACCUUUGACCCUGGAGGCUGAGGCAGGAGGGUUGCAAGUUCCAGGUCAACUUGGCAACUUAGGGAGACCUUGUCUCAAAAAAGGCUGGGGAUGUGGCUCAAUGGCAGAGCACCCACCUGUCACAAACCCUGGCCCAGGUGGCUCUGUCCCUGUGGGCAGUGACACAGUAGGCACUUUUCCCUGAGACGCAGGGUUCAACACCACACAUCCACAAGGGCAGGGGCAGCAAAGGCAAGAAAUAGCAGGAAAGAAGCGGGCGAGGGAGGAAGAGCAAGCCAGGGCUGGAGAGCAGGGGCAGCAGCGGGAGGUGUGCCCGGGGCUCAGGUAGGCGCCUCCUGGCAGGUGACCCUGGGGUGGACCAGCACGGGGUGGGUAAGAGCCCUGUGGGUCUGAAGUCCUGUGUUGCACAGCAAGGUGGAGAGGACAGGCUAG